rnacentral:rRNA from 1 species
GAUGAACGCUGGCGGCGUGCCUAAAACAUGCAAGUCGAGCGGUAAGGCCCCUUCGGGGGUACACGAGCGGCGGACGGGUGAGUAACACGUGGGAAUCUACCCCAAACUGAGGGAUAAGCACCGGAAACGGUGUCUAAUACCGCAUAUGGUCUUCGGAUUAAAGCUUCGGCGGUUUGGGAAGAGCCCGCGCAAGAUUAGCUAGUUGGUAAGGUAAUGGCUUACCAAGGCGACGAUCUUUAGCUGGUUUGAGAGGAUGAUCAGCCACACUGGAACUGAGACACGGUCCAGACUCCUACGGGAGGCAGCAGUUAGGAAUCUUCCACAAUGGGCGAAAGCCUGAUGGAGCAACGCCGCGUGCAGGAUGAAUGCCUUCGGGUUGUAAACUGCUUUUAUGUGCGAAGAAUAUGACGGUAACACAUGAAUAAGGAUCGGCUAACUCCGUGCCAGCCGCCGCGGUAA